AGGAUCUUAAACCCAAUUGGCAUGUGAUGCACAAUAGACUUCUAACUGCAAAGAGCAUAGAUGAGGUUAUCCAACACCACGAUUUUUUCCUUAAAAAAUGUCUGAAAGAGUGCCUGCUUCUCUUUCCUCAACUUCUCAUGGAGCAUGAGAAGGAAGAAGCCCAGGUGGAGGAGGUGACAGGACAGAUGGAGGGCUAGGAAGGCAAGCCUCUCACUAAGGCUUCUAGACAAGUUGGAAAGAACCCAAGAAAGAACAACACCAAGAAAGCCAAUGAAGCAGAUACUGUUGUUGAAUCUAUAGCAUCAGUUAGUACUACAGCUGAAACUAGACAUGUUUAUGAGGGGGCAAAACCCAAAGGCAGGGGAGCUCCGAAGAAGGCUCCUGCUAGAAAGGUGUGCUUGCAAAUCCUGAAACUUCUUAUUUCCCAAGUAUCUCCCUGUUUUUGUGGACUUCUCAUUGCCUUUUUGGUUUGGGUCUUUCAGCAAAAAAUGCCAACUACCGUUGAUAGUAAAGAGGAAGAUGAUGAGGUGCUCGAGCUG